rnacentral:rRNA from 1 species
CAGGAACGCUGGCGGCAGGCUUAACACAUGCAAGUCGAGCGCCCCGCAAGGGGAGCGGCAGACGGGUGAGUAACGCGUGGGAAUCUACCCAUCUCUACGGAAUAACGCAUGGAAAAGUGUGCUAAUACCGUAUACGUCCUUCGGGAGUAAGAUUUGACGGAACUGGAUGAGCCCGCGUUGGAUUAGCUGGUUGGUGGGGUAAAGGCCUACCAAGGCGACGAUCCAUAGCUGGUCCGAGAGGAUGAUCAGUCACACUGGGACUGGAGACAUGGCCCAGGCUCCUACGGGAGGCAGCGGUGGGGAAUAUUGGCCAAUGGGCGCAAGCCGGAUCCAGCCAUGCCGCGUGAGUGAUGAAGGCCCUAGGGUUGUAAAGCUCUUUCACCGGUGAAGAUGAUGGCGGUAACCGGGGAAAAAGCCCCGGCUAACUUCGUGCCAGCAGCCGCCGUAACAC